rnacentral:tRNA from 1 species
UCCCUGGUGGUCAAGUGGUUAGGAUUUGGUGCUCCCAGUGCUAUGGCCCAGGUUUGAUUCCCAGUCAGGGAA